UUUGCUUUCUUGUUAUUUUGUUCUUAUUUUUCAAAUUCAGUUUAUAAUUUUCAUAAAAUUAUCUCAUAUUUGGUUUUGCCUCUGAUAAUAGUUUCUGCCUAUCCAGACAAUGAAACUACUGAAUUCAGGGAGUUUCUCAUUCUAUUCUUUACCCUUAAAUAUAUGCAUUGUAAAUAAACAUUUCAGUCUGACUGCAAUGCAAGCAGUUCUCUAUGACUUUUUCUUUUAAUAAAUUAUAAUCUAAUAAAAGUAAUCUAGAGUUAUGGGUUUUGCUUAUUUGUUGAUAACUUUUUCCAGUAGUCAUAUAUAGAUGCGAGAGUUGGACUGUGAAGAAGGCUGAGCGCCAAAGAAUUGAUGCUUUUGAACUGUGGUGUUGAAGAAGACUCUUGAGAGUCCCUUGAACUGCAAGGAGAUCCAAUGAGUCCAUUCUAGAGGAGAUCAGCCGUGGGUGUUCUUUGGAAGUAAUGAUGCUAAAGCUGAAACUCCAGUACUUUGGGCCACCUCAUGCGAAGAGUUGACUCAUUGGAAAAGACCCUGAUGCUGGGAGGGAUUGGGGGCAGGAAGAGAAGAGGACGACAGAGGAUGAGACGGCUGGAUGGCAUCACCAACUCAAUGGACGUCAGCCUCCCUGUCCAUCACCAACUCCAGGAGUUUACCCAGACUCAUGUCCAUUGAGUAGCUAAUGCCAUCUAACCAUCUCAUACUCUGCAGCAUUGUAAACAUGCUCAAUAAUAGGUAGAAAAAAGUAGACAUAAACACAGGCAUGCAAAUAUUUACAACAUUCAUUGAAAUAACUCUCAAAACUUAAAAGAAAUUUUCAAACCCUGAAUAAUCAAACAUUACUCACACAUCAGCUAGUAUCCUUGAUGUAACUUCUGCUAUCCAGCUGUGUUAAUUUUGGAUUAGAAGUUUCAUGCUGAUUUUGUGCUACAUGAUCUGAAGAUCAGACUGAAAAUACUACAUUAGUGCUGAUCAAAUUUAAUUGGCGACACCUUAAAUAGUAUCUGGAAAUUCAAAAGGAGAACUGUCAAUUUGGAAUACUUUGAAUAUAUUUAUUUGCUCAUUCUAAUUUAUGUGAAAAAUUUGUAUCUGAUGCAUUGCUGAUUUUUUAUCUCACGUUAUUUUUUGUUCUGUUUUGUUUUCAGGGUGACAUUUUCUUUUUCUCUUUUUAGACAGAUUUUUUUUUAAGUUGCUUUAGGUUUUCAGCAAAAGUGAAGAACUAUAGAGAGUUCCUAAAUCCUUCCUGCUGCAACAUAUGCAAAACCUCCCUCUUUAGCAAAAUUCCUCACCAGAAUGGUACACUUGUGGCAACUGAGCAACCUACAUUGACACAUCCUUAUCACACAGAGCCCAUAGUUUACCUGAGGAUUCACGUUUAUCUUUUGUGCAGUCUGUGGAUUUGGACAAAUGUUAAAAGAGAAGUGUUCACCAUUAUAGUAUCAUACAGAGUAAUUUUAUGGCCCUAAAAUUCCUCUUUGCUCUACUUAUUCAUCUUUCCCUUCACUCUAGCCCUCUGACCCACAUAUUUUUUUUUUAACCAUUUAUAUAGUUUUACCUUUUCUGGCUGGUCAUAUAGUUGGACUCAUACAGUAAGUAUGUAGCCUUUUCAGAUUGUCU
ensembl:lncRNA